AUUCCCUCAUACGACUCGAAAUUGUUCCGUGAGUAAAGACGCUUUGGAGCUUUGAUCGAAUACUCUCAAUACUCUGAACGUAUUUAAGGUAAGUCAUGCAAGUACUCACUGUAGUUACUUCAUUUCUCGAUGUAUACGAGUGACCUGAAUUACACCACUACGUACAGUAUGCAGUCAGUGAACGGUAUCAGGAACUUGGGCAAAAAGAUAUGCGACUCUUUUGCAUCACAACCCAGUUAUAUCGAUGCUGAGAGAUCGAUGGCGAGAAAUUUCAUAUCUUCGGUUCUGUGCAUGCUAUGAAGACAGAAAUACCACCAUUCGAUUCAG